GUGAUCGUUUCAGCAGCACAUGCACUGAAAUUGGAAUGACACAGAGAAGAUUUGCAUAGCCACCGAACAAGGAUGACAUGCAAGUUCUUGAAGUGUUCCAUAUUUUU